UACGGGGGGGGCAAGCGUUGUUCGGAAUUACUGGGCGUAAAGGGCGCGUAGGCGGUUUGCUAAGUUGGAUGUGAAAACUCUGGGCUUAACCCAGAGCCUGCAUCCAAAACUGGCGAACUUGAGUACUGGAGGGGAAAGCGGAAUUCCUGGUGUAGCGGUGAAAUGCGUAGAUAUCAGGAGGAACACCGGUGGCGAAGGCGGCUUUCUGGACAGUAACUGACGCUGAGGCGCGAAAGCUAGGGGAGCAAACAGG
rnacentral:rRNA from 1 species